rnacentral:rRNA from 1 species
GAUGAACGCUGGCGGCGUGCCUAAUACAUGCAAGUCGAGCGAACGGACGAGAAGCUUGCUUCUCUGAUGUUAGCGGCGGACGGGUGAGUAACACGUGGAUAACCUACCUAUAAGACUGGGAUAACUUCGGGAAACCGGAGCUAAUACCGGAUAAUAUUUUGAACCGCAUGGUUCAAAAGUGAAAGACGGUCUUGCUGUCACUUAUAGAUGGAUCCGCGCUGCAUUAGCUAGUUGGUAAGGUAACGGCUUACCAAGGCAACGAUGCAUAGCCGACCUGAGAGGGUGAUCGGCCACACUGGAACUGAGACACGGUCCAGACUCCUACGGGAGGCAGCAGUAGGGAAUCUUCCGCAAUGGGCGAAAGCCUGACGGAGCAACGCCGCGUGAGUGAUGAAGGUCUUCGGAUCGUAAAACUCUGUUAUUAGGGAAGAACAUAUGUGUAAGUAACUGUGCACAUCUUGACGGUACCUAAUCAGAAAGCCACGGCUAACUACGUGCCAGCAGCCGCGGUAAUACGUAGGUGGCAAGCGUUAUCCGGAAUUAUUGGGCGUAAAGCGCGCGUAGGCGGUUUUUUAAGUCUGAUGUGAAAGCCCACGGCUCAACCGUGGAGGGUCAUUGGAAACUGGAAAACUUGAGUGCAGAAGAGGAAAGUGGAAUUCCAUGUGUAGCGGUGAAAUGCGCAGAGAUAUGGAGGAACACCAGUGGCGAAGGCGACUUUCUGGUCUGUAACUGACGCUGAUGUGCGAAAGCGUGGGGAUCAAACAGGAUUAGAUACCCUGGUAGUCCACGCCGUAAACGAUGAGUGCUAAGUGUUAGGGGGUUUCCGCCCCUUAGUGCUGCAGCUAACGCAUUAAGCACUCCGCCUGGGGAGUACGACCGCAAGGUUGAAACUCAAAGGAAUUGACGGGGACCCGCACAAGCGGUGGAGCAUGUGGUUUAAUUCGAAGCAACGCGAAGAACCUUACCAAAUCUUGACAUCCUUUGACAACUCUAGAGAUAGAGCCUUCCCCUUCGGGGGACAAAGUGACAGGUGGUGCAUGGUUGUCGUCAGCUCGUGUCGUGAGAUGUUGGGUUAAGUCCCGCAACGAGCGCAACCCUUAAGCUUAGUUGCCAUCAUUAAGUUGGGCACUCUAAGUUGACUGCCGGUGACAAACCGGAGGAAGGUGGGGAUGACGUCAAAUCAUCAUGCCCCUUAUGAUUUGGGCUACACACGUGCUACAAUGGACAAUACAAAGGGCAGCGAAACCGCGAGGUCAAGCAAAUCCCAUAAAGUUGUUCUCAGUUCGGAUUGUAGUCUGCAACUCGACUACAUGAAGCUGGAAUCGCUAGUAAUCGUAGAUCAGCAUGCUACAGUGAAUACGUUCCCGGGUCU